rnacentral:rRNA from 1 species
UACGGGGGGGGGCAAGCGUUGUUCGGAAUUACUGGGCGUAAAGGGCGCGUAGGCGGUCGUGACAAGUCACUUGUGAAAUCUCCGGGCUUAACUCGGAACGGUCAAGUGAUACUGUCGGACUAGAGUACAGAAGGGGCAACUGGAAUUCUCGGUGUAGCGGUGAAAUGCGUAGAUAUCGAGAGGAACACCUGCGGCGAAGGCGGGUUGCUGGGCUGAUACUGACGCUGAGGCGCGAAAGCUAGGGGAGCGAACGGG